rnacentral:rRNA from 1 species
UAGGGAAUCUUCCACAAUGGGCGAAAGCCUGAUGGAGCAACGCCGCGUGAGCGAAGAAGGUCUUCGGAUCGUAAAGCUCUGUUGUAAGGGAAGAACAAGUGCAGUAGUAACUGGCUGCACCUUGACCGUACCUUACUAGAAAGCAACGGCUAAAUACGUG